rnacentral:rRNA from 1 species
UACGUAGGGUGCAAGCGUUGUCCGGAAUUAUUGGGCGUAAAGAGCUCGUAGGCGGUUUGUUGCGUCGGCUGUGAAAUCCCGAGGCUCAACCUCGGGUCUGCAGUCGAUACGAGCAAACUAGAGUGUUGCAGGGGAGACUGGAAUUCCUGGUGUAGCGGUGAAAUGCGCAGAUAUCAGGAAGAACACCCGUGGCUAAGGCGGUUCUCUGGGACGGUACUGACGCUGGAGACGCGAAAGCGUGGGAGCGAACAGG